UAGGGAAUAUUGGGCAAUGGACGCAAGUCUGACCCAGCCAUGCCGCGUGCAGGAUGAAUGUUCUAUGAAUUGUAAACUGCUUUUUUAUGGAAAGAAACCCCCGGAUGCGUUCGGGGCUGACGGUACCAUAAGAAUAAGGAUCGGCUAACUUCGUGCCAGCAGCCGCGGUAAGACGAAGGAUUCAAGCGUUGUCCGGAUUUACUGGGUUUAAAGGGUGCGUAGGCGGAAAUAUAAGUCAGUGGUGAAAUCCCGCAGCUCAACUGCGGAACUGCCAUUGAAACUGCAUUUCUUGAAUACGGUUGAGGUAGAUGGAAUGUAACAUGUAGCGGUGAAAUGCUUAGAUAUGUUACAGAACUCCGAUUGCGAAGGCAGUCUACUAAGCCGUUAUUGACGCUGAGGCACGAAAGCGUGGGGAGCAAACAG
rnacentral:rRNA from 1 species